rnacentral:tRNA from 1 species
AAGGCUUUAAGUUAAUUAAACUGUUAUCCUUCAAAGUUAAAUAUACAAUUUUGUUGUAAGCCUUA